UACAGGGGGGGCAAGCGUUGUUCGGAAUUACUGGGCGUGAAGGGCUCGUAGGUGGCCCACUAAGUCAGACGUGAAAUCCCUCAGCUUAACUGGGGAACUGCGUCUGAUACUGGAUGGCUUGAGUUUGGGAGAGGGAUGCGGAAUUCCAGGUGUAGCGGUGAAAUGCGUAGAUAUCUGGAGGAACACCGGUGGCGAAGGCGGGUCUCUGGGCCGAUACUGACGCUGAGGAGCGAAAGCGUGGGGAGCGAACAGG
rnacentral:rRNA from 1 species